UACGAAGGGGGCUAGCGUUGCUCGGAAUCACUGGGCGUAAAGCGCACGUAGGCGGAUUGUUAAGUCAGGGGUGAAAUCCUGGAGCUCAACUCCAGAACUGCCUUUGAUACUGGCGAUCUUGAGUCCGGGAGAGGUGAGUGGAACUGCGAGUGUAGAGGUGAAAUUCGUAGAUAUUCGCAAGAACACCAGUGGCGAAGGCGGCUCACUGGCCCGGUACUGACGCUGAGGUGCGAAAGCGUGGGGAGCGAACCGG
rnacentral:rRNA from 1 species